rnacentral:rRNA from 1 species
AUUGAACGCUGGCGGCAGGCCUAACACAUGCAAGUCGAGCGGCAGCGGGAAAGUAGCUUGCUACUUUUGCCGGCGAGCGGCGGACGGGUGAGUAAUGCCUGGGAAGUUGCCCAGUCGAGGGGGAUAACAGUUGGAAACGACUGCUAAUACCGCAUACGCCCUACGGGGGAAAGCAGGGGACCUUCGGGCCUUGCGCGCUUGGAUAUGCCCAGGUGGGUUUAGGUAGUUGGUGAGGUAAUGGCUCACCGAGGCGACGAUCCAUAGCUGGUCUGAGAGGAUGAUCAGCCACACUGGAACGUAGACACGGUCCAGACUCCUACGGGAGGCAGCAGUGGGGAAUAUUGCACAAUGGGGGAAACCCUGAUGCAGCCAUGCCGCGUGUGUGAAGAAGGCCUUCGGGUUGUAAAGCACUUUCAGCGAGGAGGAAAGGUCAGUAGCUAAUAUCUGCUGACUGUGACGUUACUCGCAGAAGAAGCACCGGCUAACUCCGUGCCAGCCGCCGCAGUAACAC